rnacentral:rRNA from 1 species
UACGUAGGGCGCAAGCGUUGUCCGGAAUUAUUGGGCGUAAAGAGCUCGUAGGCGGUUUGUCGCGUCUGCUGUGAAAACCUCAGGCUCAACCUGGGGUUUGCAGUGGGUACGGGCAGACUAGAGUGCGGUAGGGGGUGACUGGAAUUCCUGGUGUAGCGGUGGAAUGCGCAGAUAUCAGGAGGAACACCGAUGGCGAAGGCAGGUCACUGGGCCGCAACUGACGCUGAGGAGCGAAAGCAUGGGGAGCGAACAGG